UUGUUCUAAGAACCAAGAUCUGCUUAAGCCAGAAGAAGAAUGAAAAAGGAAUUGCAGGGAAAGACAGUAGCUACAUUUUUGUUGAGAAAUAUGAAGUCAUGUUAAUACUGUUUUUUUUAAAAUUUUGGCUUUUUAGUCUUUUUUUGAACAAAGAACUCUUUUGUUCUGACCUUUUAUGGGCUUAAUUUGCUGCCCCUUUCAGAAUCGUGAAUUCAUCAUGAAAUUCAUUUGUUCUACAAAUAUGUAUGGAGUGCCCACUCUAGACAACCCUAGGCCCUCUCAUGGUACUUGUGAAGGAGAUAUUUAAAUAAAUCCAUGAAUACAUAUGAAGCGAUAACUGUGGAGACUGCUAUGCUGGAGAGCACAUUAAGAACUUAUUAAUGAAGACCUACACAGGAAGGAACUGGGCAAGCAGGUGGGGUGGAGCUGGCCCUGCAGAUCCAGACCUUGCUGCAUUUAGGAUGAGAACAAGGAGGCUCCGUUUAUACCUAAAAGUGCAGGCUCUACCACCAUCUUGUCUUCGGAUACAUUUCAAGAAUCAAUAAAAGAGAAAUAAUAAAAAAUAAAAAAAGUGGUACAUAUACACAAUGGAAUUCUAUGCAGCAGAGAGAAAGAAGGAGCUACUACCCUUUGCAACAACAUGGAUGGAACUGGAAAGCAUUAUGCUGAGUGAAAUAGGCCAGGCAUUGAAGGACAAAUACCAUAUGAUCUCACCUUUGACAGGAAGCUAAACAAUAAAACAAACAAGCAAACAGAAUAAAAACAAAGACACUGAAAUAGAGAACAAGUGGGCAGCGACCGGAGGGGAGAGAGAAGGGAAUUUAAGGGGAAAAAUGGGGAGGGAUUUUGAGGAACAAGU